GAUUGGGUUCUCCGUUCUCCCGUUUUUUUUUUUUUUGGGAGAGGUAUAUAGGGGAAGAGAAAAAAAGAACAAACGAAUGCUAACUUCCGCUCGUCCUCUUUGGGUCGGGUCUUUGGACGGGAGUGGCAGCGGCGCCUUCUACGGCGUCGUCGUCGGCCCCCGGCCGCGGGUGCAGGACCUGAGGCAUGGUGAGAAGCAGCAGUAGGAGCCCCGGCGAGUGCAGGAUCGGGAGCACAAGACCUAGAUGUUCGACCGAAGGGUCUUCGUCGGCUGCGCCUCGUUCUGCGUGACUGGCGCGGGCGCCAGCGUAGAGUGCUAAAGCACGACAGACAAAAAAGAAAAAUCCCAUCUAGCGGAAGCAAAGGAGGGGUCACUCAGGAGUCUCUACUACGUCGAGAAGACCGACCUCCCGUGGUGGUGGCAGGAUAUUCAAGAAGUGGUUCUACACCGUGUACAAGCCGUCCUAAUAGACAAGACAUCAGAGGAAAGACCGUACAUACCUGUGUAGGGACUAAAGGGCAAAAGCUACAGGCUUAUUACCUCAUAUAGAUAAUCUGUAUUGUCACUGUCAUUAAAUAAGUCACCCGAUAGAGAACAGAACAGACAUUUCUAGAAUCUUUAUUAACGAAGUUUCUUAUAUCAUAGAGGGGCGUCUUUCUCUUCUUUUCUUUCUUAUACCCUUAGAUUAUAUAUAAGAGUGCCCCCGUUUACGUGGGCCUAUUUGUCAUUUACGUAUUUUAUCACUUUAGUAAGUUUUUUUU
rnacentral:rRNA from 1 species